rnacentral:rRNA from 1 species
UACGUAGGGGCAAGCGUUGGUCCGGAAUCAUUGGGCGUAAAGAGCGUGUAGGCGGCCCGGUAAGUCCGCUGUGAAAGUCCAGGGCUCAACCCUGGGAAUGCCGGUGGAUACUGUCGGGCUAGAGUUCCGGAAGAGGCAAGUGGAAUUCCUGGUGUAGCGGUGGAAUGCGCAGAUAUCAGGAGGAACACCGUAUAGCGAAGGCAGCUGCUGGGACGGACACUGACCGUGGAGGCGACGAAGGCGUGGGAGCGAACAGG